rnacentral:rRNA from 1 species
UGGGGGAUUUUGCACAAUGGGCGCAAGCCUGAUGCAGCGACGUCGCGUGAGGGAUGAAGGCCUUCGGGUUGUAAACCUCUAUCGCUGGGUGGAAAGGCCAUGCUAUGGGGGUGGUUGAUUUGAACUGGUAAAGAAGUAGCGGCUAACUACGUGCCAGCAGCCGCGGUAAUACGUAGGGUACUAGCGUUGUCCGGAUUUAGUGGGCGUAAAGGGCUUGUAGGUGGUUUGUGGCGUCUGUCGUGAAAUCCUGUGGCUUAACCAUGGGCUUGCGGUGGGUACGGGAAGGCUAGAGUGCGGUAGGGGAGACUGGAAUUCCUGGUGUAGCGGAGAAAUGCGCAGAUAUCAGGAGAAACACCGGGGGCGAAGGCGGGUCUCUGGGCCGUUACUGACACAGAGGAGCGAAAGCGUGGGGAGCGAACAGG